GACGAACGCUGGCGGCGUGCUUAACACAUGCAAGUCGAACGGAAAGGCCCUGCUUUUGUGGGUUGCUCGAGUGGCGAACGGGUGAGUAACACGUGAGUAACCUUCCCUUUACUUUUGGAUAACUUCAGGUAACUGUGGUACAUACCGGAUAUCCUCUCCUGCUGCUUGGUGUGGGUUGGAUAGUUUCGGCGGUUGGGGAUGGACUCGCGGUUUAUCAGUUUGUUGGUGGGGUAGUGGCUUACCAAGGCUUUGACGGGUAGCCGGCCUGAGAGGGUGACCGGCCACAUGGGGACUGAGAUACGGCCAAGACUCCUACGGGAGGCAGCAGUGGGGAAUAUGGAACAAUGGGCGGAAGCCUGAGGCAGCAAGGCCGCGUGCGGGAGGACGGCCUUCGGGUGGUAAACCGCUUUAGCAGGUGACGAAGCGUGAGUGACGGUAAUGGGUAAAGAAGCACCGGCUAACUACGUG
rnacentral:rRNA from 1 species